UGGGGAAUAUUGCACAAUGGGGGAAACCCUGAUGCAGCGACGCCGCGUGGAGGAAGAAGGUCUUCGGAUUGUAAACUCCUGUUGUUGUGGAAAAUAAGGAUGGUACACAACAAGGAAGUGACGGCUAACUACGUGCCAGCAGCCGCGGUAAAACGUAGGUCACGAGCGUUGUCCGGAAUUACUGGGUGUAAAGGGAGCGCAGGCGGGUAUGCAAGUUGGGAGUGAAAUGCAUAGGCUCAACCUAUGAACUGCUCUCAAAACUGUGUAUCUUGAGUAGUGCAGAGGUAGGCGGAAUUCCCGGUGUAGCGGUGGAAUGCGUAGAUAUCGGGAGGAACACCAGUGGCGAAGGCGGCCUACUGGGCACCAACUGACGCUGAGGCUCGAAAGCAUGGGUAGCGAACAGGAUUAGAUACCCGU
rnacentral:rRNA from 1 species